CUUAUUUUAGUUAGUAAUCUGGGGCACAUCAAGAUAUAACACUGGAUUAUGCCACCACUAUUCCACUCAUUGGUAAAUAUAUAGCAUUGAUCAAAGUGGUCAACACCUGUAUUGAUUACUGUGACACUGGUAAAACUAAACAUAUCAGUAUAGACAUCAUCACUUUAUCUAGAGUGUUCAGAGUCUGUAAGAAGGCUGUAGCCAAAGUAAGAAUUAUUCGCUUGCAAACAUAUAACUAUUUGCUUUCAUUGAAGCAGAAACAAAACUUGAAAUUGUGAAUGUUCUUUUCAAAGUAGGUUGAAGACUAAUGACCUGGAAUGUUAACUGUAG